CUUGUGAUUUAUGUUUUCACACCUGGCACUGACACUGGCACUUUGACACCUGCCACCUUUUCAACCCACAUAAAGAGUAACAUUUCUUCAUCGUGUUCGCAUCCAUAUAUACGAUCACCGGUCAAGAUCACUUAUGACGGACCGGACGACCGAACGUCGACGGACGCGACGACUAAGGUUCGGUUCGGUUCGAUUACAUUGUUCAUCCGCAUUUCACAUUUUUUUGAAAAUUUAAAUUUCAAAAAAAAAUAAGUUAAAAAAAAAAUCUCAAGAAAUGUACACCGAAAAAUGCCUCCACCGAGUCCACAUCAAUCCAAUCCAUAUACAAACGAUUAUCAUUC